rnacentral:rRNA from 1 species
UACGGAGGGUGCGAGCGUUGUCCGGAAUCACUGGGCGUAAAGGGCUCGUAGGCGGCCAACUAAGUCGGACGUGAAAUCCCUCGGCUUAACCGGGGAACUGCGUCCGAUACUGGAUGGCUUGAGUUUGGGAGAGGGAUGCGGAAUUCCAGGUGUAGCGGUGAAAUGCGUAGAUAUCUGGAGGAACACCGGUGGCGAAGGCGGCAUCCUGGACCAACACUGACGCUGAGGAGCGAAAGCCAGGGGAGCAAACGGG